rnacentral:pre_miRNA from 1 species
AUUCAAUUAAUUUUAAAUACCUUUGCGGAGUUGAUUGGGCGAAUGGGUCUUAAACAAUCAACCAUCUGCCCAAUCGACUCCAAAAAAAGUAUUAAAAAAGUGAAA